UGCCGGGUACCGCGUGGCGUCACCCUGUUAAGCCCCCAGGGCCGGAAGGCAGCAAGGGUGCGCAGGCUCUGGCGGGCACGCGGUACCCUUGCCUU
rnacentral:SRP_RNA from 1 species